AACGAACGCUGGCGGCAGGCUUAACACAUGCAAGUCGAACGGGUGUCGCAAGACAUCAGUGGCAGACGGGUGAGUAACACGUGGGAACCUUCCUAGGGGUACGGAACAACUCAGGGAAACUUGAGCUAAUACCGUAUACGUCCGUGAGGAGAAAGAUUUAUCGCCCUUAGACGGGCCCGCGUCGGAUUAGCUAGUUGGUGGGGUAACGGCCUACCAAGGCGACGAUCCGUAGCUGAUCUGAGAGGAUGAUCAGCCACACUGGGACUGAGAUACGGCCCAGACUCCUACGGGAGGCAGCAGUGGGGAAUCUUGGACAAUGGGCGCAAGCCUGAUCCAGCCAUGCCGCGUGAGUGAAGAAGGCCUUAGGGUUGUAAAGCUCUUUUACCAGGGACGAUAAUGACGGUACCUGGAGAAUAAGCCCCGGCAAACUUCGUGCCAGCAGCCGCUGUAAG
rnacentral:rRNA from 1 species